rnacentral:rRNA from 1 species
UACGUAGGGGGCUAGCGUUGUCCGGAAUCAUUGGGCGUAAAGCGCGCGUAGGCGGCCAGAUAAGUCCGGUGUGAAAGUCACAGGCUCAACCUGUGAAUGCCGCUGGAAACUGUCUGGCUAGAGUCCGGAAGGGGCGAGUGGAAUUCCUGGUGUAGCGGUGAAAUGCGCAGAUAUCAGGAGGAACACCGGUGGCGAAGGCGGGUCUCUGGGCCGGAACUGACGCUGAGGAGCGAAAGCGUGGGGAGCGAACAGG